GCCGCUUUUGAGAAGAGAGAAAACUGCAGAAGCUCGGAGGAAUUCAACGUGAGAAAUUAAGAGAGAAUAGAAAGGAGAAAAUUCCAGCCAUCAUCUGUUCCAAAUUUACUCCAUGGUUUCUAGGGUACUUAAUUCGUGUUCUUACGCGUGAUAGCCAUCUACCACGUCUGGACUCGAAGACGAAGGAGUGUUUUAUUUGUGGUAGUAUCUUUCUAACUCCUUGUGUUUUUUUUCUUUUUUCUUUUCUUCUUUUUUAUCUUUUAAAGUUUGCUAGUACACAUUCCAGCACACAAUUUUUCUAAGACUAACCCCGAAGUUGUCGAGAGUCUCGCUUUCGGUAGAAUUGGUAUAUUUGAGUUGUGCUUGGUUUCUUUUCUGUUGUGUAGGUGUUCUAGAAAAUUGAAAACAGAAAAAAAAAACAGUGGAUGCGAACUAGAUUUAAGGGUACACCGCAAUUUGGGUUAUUGAUACAUCAUAGAAGAGGACAAAAUUCAGCUGUGAUUGAUACACAUCAGGACUAUCAGAGUCCAGUGAGAGAAAAUCCACCUCUUGAAACAAAUUUUGGGAGUAGUAGCAGUGAUUCAGAAGCCGAGUUCAUGGCCGAAAACAAUAACAAUGCUCCUCCUGUGGAAAAGUUCGGCGAUACUGUCAGAUCGGGUAUAACCGUUAAACCCGAUUAUACCCGUUAUUUUUAGGGUUGUGGUUUUAAAAUAUUUUAUUUUAGUUAAUUAGUUUCAAAUUUAUAUAUAAUCAGUUUAUAUUAAACUUUUGAAUGGUGAUUUAAUUUUAGACAUGCUUGAUAUUUCUAUCA